UGCACCGUGAGCCAUCGCCAAAGCAUAAUUGAGCCCGGCUGACGAGCGAAUAAAUACUGUUCUGCAUAUAUCGGCGGCAGUUUGCGAAGUUCAGGGGUCAGUCAAGCUCUGGCAGAACUGUCCGUCCCCAGGCUACGAAAGCUCUCAAUCAGACACUGAAGAAAGGGAAAAGCGCGUAUUUCCUUGGCUUAUCGCUGGUGCAAGUGCAUUGGUAGGAAAAAUCCUUGGAUAAAUCAGGAACUGUGAAAUGAAGAACAAAGCUGAGAUGACCCAACGUUUUGAACAAGUAGUGUUAAUAAUGCAUUUUUGAGGAGUCUGCAGAUAAAUAAAUUGCUAUCAAUUAA